UGAUGGAGAUUUUUUUUGGGGUUGGUCGCCAGAGGAUGAUCUACCUCGUGGCGGUAUUGGUUUUUGCACAACACCGACAAAAAGGAACUUUUAAAUUGGACAGACCUGCAGUCACCGAAAAAUAUUCCGGUUAAUUGAUUUCUUGUUCUUGGAGUCGAUGGUAUUUUUGCACAGGGCUGAAUCUAAGGGCUGAAUCUCUCACGUUAGCUUUGAUACCCUGUGAGAAAGCACGGGAGAAAAAUUUAUUAUUGAUAUUAAUUAUAAUGCAAUGAACCCUAUUCAUAAGUACACAUAAUAUAUAACCUACUCCUAUUACAUACGGGACUAGGAUUAUUUACACAUAACUAUCUAACAAAGCUAUAUCGUUUUCACUUGUCUUCAUGAAAUGGUGCAGCUCACUCUAUAUAAAUUGGUACAAAACAGCACGGUACAAUGAUGCUCAUGCAUUGUUGGUUUUCUAAUUGAAAUGAAAAUUGCUCAUGAACUAUGGGUAUACAUUCAGCCCUCAUUUUGAUGUGAAAUUCUGCAAGCUUUUGCCUGAAUUUCUGAAAGAACUUUCAGCCAUUGAUGAUCAAUGAUUUCAGUUGUUACUGUUGACUUCCUUUACCCCUAUAUGGCUUUGUUUUUUUUUUUCUUUGAGAAGUAAAUGACCUUGUUAUACACCAAACAUUAUGAAUCUCUGAUGUAGACAAACCCAUGUACUAACUUAACUUUUAAGUUUUGCCUUCUCAGUCAGAUUGAAAACAGAUGGUAAAACUGGAACGCAUGUGUGAAGAUAGCUGAGAUACUUGAGCUUACCCUUCAGUAUUUAUAUUCAGGAUUUGUUUGGAGAUCGACAUGAACUGUGGAGGUUUAGAUAUGCUUAUCAGAAACUGAACAGGUAGCCCAAACACUGCACUAUUGCUGUAUUAAUUUUUAGCUCAUAGUCUAGUAACAUGUUAUUCAGUUCAUCUAACUCAUGCCAUUUGGUGGCCCAUUAGUGAGAGUACAAAGAAUCUUUUCCUGCAAAUUAUGUUGUAUAAAGACGUUUGGCUUGGUAUCUUAGUUGACUUGAGAAUGCUCACCGAAAGCGAAAUAAUAAAGAGCUCCUGAAGUCAAAUGUUAGGUAAGGUUUAGUGCAGGAAUUGAUCAAAGCAGCAUUAUGUCUGACUGUAGAAAUGUUUUGGAUUAAUAGAUUAGCUAAAUUUUAUUGUCCGUACAUGUCGUUAAGGUGGAAUUCCAUCAAUCAUUGGGAUCCAAUAUUUUAAAUGCUUGAUGAGCUUACUGCUGUUUCCUGAACAGGAUCUCACUGUUGAUUGUCCAGCAAAGUAUCAAAAGUUAAUCCACAUUUGCUUGCAAAUCCUUUUGUAACUAGGGAGCACAGGCUUGAAAAAAGGGCACUAAAUUUUUUUGGGGCAUUCCGAGAAUCGAACUGGGGACCUCUCGCACUCAAAGCGAGAAUCGUACCACUGACCAAAUGCCCAGCUUUUGCUGGUCCCUCUGCCUAAAUAAUAGCUGGAAGUUUCACGUACAGUUAUCUGGAGUCUACCAUUUCUAUGAAAUGAUUUUCUAGGAGUACCAGCAUUCUCCAGUGUCUCAGGGAUCUUCCAUAGUUACAAUAAUGUAAAAGUGUUUUAGUUGUAGACGGGAAGUUGGUGUAUCUGGUUGUAAUAUCUGAACAUAGUCAACCGUAGAAUCAUUUAGAGAUGAAGGAGCACUUGGAGAUUUAAAUCAACUUAGAGUAAAAUAAAAUUCUACAGAAUCAAGGGGCAUUCCGAGAAUCGAACUUGGGACCUCUCGCACCCAAAGCGAGAAUCAUACCACUAGACCAAAUGCCCAUUUGUUGACAUUGUCAUCUUUGAUUUUUAGUCACAAUGUUUUUUCCAUUCUGAGUUAUUUGAUCAUAAAUGUCAUUGCUCAUCUGCAAUAUAGAAUUCAGGUACUCCCUAUUUCAUACCAGUUGAUCUUCAUUUACUUGAUUAUAUGUUCUGUGUUAUAACUGGAAAAAUCAGGUCUCAUGCGGAAGCUAGCAAAGCAAACCUUCAGCGAUGAUAAAUUAGAUAACAAAAAAGAAACUGAGUUAUUUGAUCGCAAUGUCAUUGCUUAUCUGCAAUAUAGAUUUAUACUCCUUAUUUCAUACCAGCUGAUAUUCAUUGGCUUAAAAAGAUGUUAUUCAGUCCUUAUUGUGACUCCGGCAUGGAUUAGUGAGAUGUAAAGAGGGGUUGAUUAAAAUAUUAUGUUUUUGCUCUCUGAUUUGUGCCGAUUUCAAUGCAUAAAGAUUCUACUAUCAGCUCUGGUAAUUUCUGUCACUUGUCUAUUCACUAUCCUUGUCUGUCGUAUUCAACCUUUUGGGCAUCCGGAAUCCAAAAGCCAUGAAGUCUGUCUAGUGAUUAAGAACUCUCAUUGGACAUGAGGCCAGGUCUCUGGCAUUAGCUGGAUUAGAUUACUUGUUUGACAUCAUAGUUUGAGUUAAAUCACGCCUGAAGUAAAGAAAGCUCCACUAAGUUGGAGAGCAUCACAUUAAUAGUUAAACCUUGACUUCUGUUGUGUUCUCUUAUUUCCAGUUCUCUUUCGGAUACUUUCUUUAUCAAGCUAUAUCCUUAUCAUUUUCUUUCAUGGAAUGGUGCAGCUCAUUGUAAAUUGGGCGCAACUCAACAUGGUACAAUGAUAUUCAUGAUUCUUUGUUUCACUAUAUUGAAAUGAAUAUGAUUCAGUAAACAACGGGUAUCUGCUUUACUCCUUAUUUCAAUGUGAAAGCUUUUGCCUCAAUUGUUGCAACACCUUCAUGUCAUUGAUUAAUGAUUUCAGUUGUUCUGGACAAAACAUUAUGAAUCUUUGAUGUUGUAACAACAAAUGCAUGUACUAACUUAACUUUUAAGUUUUGCCUGCUUUAUCAAAUUGAAAAGAGAUGGCAAAAACGCUUGUCUGAAAUGGUGGCUUACUAUGGUUGAGAUACUCGAGCUUAUCUGUUCGACAUUUUAUAUUUAGGGAUCUCUUGGGAGUUGGACACUGAACUUUGGAGUUUCAGAUCUGCUUUUCGGUAAACUGAACAGGCAAGGUCAACUCUGCGCUAUUGCAAAUAUUCGUGUUGUAUUGAUUUUUAGCAUAUAGAUCUAGAUCUUCCUUAUUCAGCUUCAUGUGACCCAUCCAAUUUGGUGGUCCAUUAACGUGAAUGGAAAGAAUCUUUACCUGCAAAUUUUGUGUGAAGACAUUUGGCUGAGUGUCUUUGUUGACUUGGGAUAAGCUUACCAAAAGGG
rnacentral:lncRNA from 1 species